AAGUCGUAACAAGGUUUCCGUAGGUGAACCUGCGGAAGGAUCAUUACAAAUCCAAAACAAUAACUCGUUGAAAUGUUCUCGGCCUUGGGAUGUCGUCUCACAACUUGUGAGAUGAUAUCAAAGAGCAGCCGUCAGUAUGUCAAGUAUCGGAUUUAUCCAGCUACAGAGUACAUACUGGUGUCUAUCUUAAACCAAGGUUCGAUCUAAUGAACUUACAAAUUGUCAUACAUAACAAGUCGUUUAUUCGACAAAACAAAAACAACUUUUAACAAUGGAUCUCUAGGCUCUU
rnacentral:misc_RNA from 1 species